rnacentral:rRNA from 1 species
AACGAACGCUGGCGGCGUGCUUAACACAUGCAAGUCGAACGAAGUAGCAAUACUUAGUGGCGCACGGGUGAGUAACACGUGGGAAUCUGCCUGAUAGUGGGGGAUAACAGUUGGAAACGACUGCUAAUACCGCAUAACCUCGAGAGAGAAAAGAUUUAUCGCUAUCAGAUGAGCCCGCGCCUGAUUGGGUAGUUGGUGGGGUAAUGGCCUACCAAGCCUACGAUCAGUAGCCGGUCUGAGAGGACGAUCGGCCACACUGGGACUGAGACACGGCCCAGACUCCUACGGGAGGCAGCAGUGGGGAAUUUUGGACAAUGGGCGAAAGCCUGAUCCAGCGACGCCGCGUGAAUGAUGAAGGCCUUCGGGUUGUAAAGUUCUUUUGGCAGGGAAGAUAGUGACGGUACCUGCAGAAUAAGCUCCGGCAAACUCUGUGCCAGCCGCCGCGGUAA